GUGUCAGCAGCCGCGGUAAUACCCGCAGCUCAAGUGGUGGUCAUUAUUAUUGGGCUUAAAGCGUCCGUAGCUGGCCUGUUAGAUGCCUGGGUAAAUCGAUGCGCUCAACGCAUCGAAUUCCGGGUAGACCGGCAGGCUCGAGACCGGGAGAGGUGUAGGCUACUCGAGGGGUAGGGGUAAAAUCCUGUAAUCCUUCGGGGAGGACCAGUGGCGAAGGCGCUACACUAGAACGGCUCUGACAGUGAGGGACGAAGCCCUGGGGCGCAAACCGGAUUAGAAACCCUCGUAGUCC
rnacentral:rRNA from 1 species